rnacentral:rRNA from 1 species
CAAUAGCGUAUAUUUAAGUUGUUGCAGUUAAAAAGCUCGUAGUCGGAUUUUGGCUGAGAACGAUCGGUCCGCCGUUAGGUGUGCACUGAUUGGUCUCAGCUUCCUGGUGAGGAGGUGUGCUUCACGGCCACUUAGUCACCGUGGUUACUUUGAGAAAAUUAGAGUGUUCAAAGCGGGCUUACGCUUGAAUAUAUUAGCAUGGAAUAACACCAUAGGACUCCUGUCCUAUUUCGUUGGUCUCGGGACGGGAGUAAUGAUUAAGAGGAACAGUUGGGGGCAUUCGUAUUUCAUUGUCAGAGGUGAAAUUCUUGGAUUUAUGAAAGACGAACUUCUGCGAAAGCAUUUGCCAAGGAUGUUUUCAUUGA